CACCCAUAAACUCAUUAAAACCCUAAACCCCAUUAAAUCUCAAUCGAUUGAACCCAGAAUCCCAUUUAAACCCUAAAUUAAAAAUCAAUCGAACCUAGAGAACUCGCUGAAACCGUAAAACCAUCUUUCCCCAUCGUUCAUCAUUGUCCAUCGUUUCAAACUCGUUUACCCAGAAAUUCAUGGUUCCGCCAUCGUUCAUCGCAGUUGAACCUCCAUCUUGUCAUAAGUGGUUAGGAUGCUGAAGGAAAUGAAAUAUCACGUCCAGGAGCACAUAUCAGGUUGGGAAGACAUGUUUUCACUUGGGGGAGGAUACUUGCAUUUGAAGCUGCAAGUUGCAUUUAGUGAUGAAGAGUGACAGAAUUCUUAUGAUGUACUACUUAUAUUUCUAAAAUCUCAACAUUCUUAAACAUAGAAAAUUAAUGGCCUUGGUAAGUUUUUGUGAUUAUGCUGAUAUAUGUUGGAUAAUUGAAAUAUUAUAGGAUACUUUGAUAGGAUUAGUCAAAUUUCUAUAUAAUAGAAGGAAGAAUGAUCUUCUUAAUACAAGUCAAAGAUGUGAAGAAAGUGACAGUAGAUGUUUAUAGAUGCGGUCAUUAUGUUAAUCUGCUUCUGGUGCGGUUGUCCCUGCUU